AGGACGAACGCUGGCGGCGUGCUUAACACAUGCAAGUCGAGCGGAAAGGCCCUUCGGGGUACUCGAGCGGCGAACGGGUGAGUAAUACGUGAGCAACCUGCCCUUAGCUCUGGGAUAGCUCCGGGAAACCGGAAUUAAUACCGGAUAUGACCUAGGCCGACAUCGGCCGUGGUGGAAAGUUUUUCGGCUAGGGAUGGACUCGCGGCCUAUCAGCUAGUUGGUGGGGUAAUGGCCUACCAAGGCGACGACGGGUAGCCGGCCUGAGAGGGCGACCGGCCACACUGGGACUGAGACACGGCCCAGACUCAUACGGGAGGCAGCAGUGGGGAAUCUUGCGCAAUGGGCGAAAGCCUGACGCAGCGACGCCGCGUGGGGGAUGAAGGCCUUCGGGUUGUAAACCCCUUUCAGCAGGGACGAAGCGAAAGUGACGGUACCUGCAGAAGAAGCGCCGGCUAACUACGCGCCAGCAGCCGC
rnacentral:rRNA from 1 species